UAAUGUUGAAAAAUUAGCGGAUGACUUGUGGCUGGGGGUGAAAGGCCAAUCAAACCGGGAGAUAGCUGGUUCUCCCCGAAAGCUAUUUAGGUAGCGCCUCGUGAAUUCAUCUCCGGGGGUAGAGCACUGUUUCGGCAAGGGGGUCAUCCCGACUUACCAACCCGAUGCAAACUGCGAAUACCGGAGAAUGUUAUCACGGGAGACACACGGCGGGUGCUAACGUCCGUCGUGAAGAGGGAAACAACCCAGACCGCCAGCUAAGGUCCCAAAGUCAUGGUUAAGUGGGAAACGAUGUGGGAAGGCCCAGACAGCCAGGAUGUUGGCUUAGAAGCAGCCAUCAUUUAAAGAAAGCGUAAUAGCUCACUGGUCGAGUCGGCCUGCGCGGAAGAUGUAACGGGGCUAAACCAUGCACCGAAGCUGCGGCAGCGACACUAUGUGUUGUUGGGUAGGGGAGCGUUCUGUAAGCCUGUGAAGGUGGCCUGUGAGGGUUGCUGGAGGUAUCAGAAGUGCGAAUGCUGACAUAAGUAACGAUAAAGCGGGUGAAAAGCCCGCUCGCCGGAAGACCAAGGGUUCCUGUCCAACGUUAAUCGGGGCAGGGUGAGUCGACCCCUAAGGCGAGGCCGAAAGGCGUAGUCGAUGGGAAACAGGUUAAUAUUCCUGUACUUGGUGUUACUGCGAAGGGGGGACGGAGAAGGCUAUGUUGGCCGGGCGACGGUUGUCCCGGUUUAAGCGUGUAGGCUGGUUUUCCAGGCAAAUCCGGAAAACCAAGGCUGAGGCGUGAUGACGAGGCACUACGGUGCUGAAGCGACAAAUGCCCUGCUUCCAGGAAAAGCCUCUAAGCAUCAGGUAACAUCAAAUCGUACCCCAAACCGACACAGGUGGUCAGGUAGAGAAUACCAAGGCGCUUGAGAGAACUCGGGUGAAGGAACUAGGCAAAAUGGUGCCGUAACUUCGGGAGAAGGCACGCUGAUAUGUAGGUGAAGCGACUUGCUCGUGGAGCUGAAAUCAGUCGAAGAUACCAGCUGGCUGCAACUGUUUAUUAAAAACACAGCACUGUGCAAACACGAAAGUGGACGUAUACGGUGUGACGCCUGCCCGGUGCCGGAAGGUUAAUUGAUGGGGUUAGCGGUAACGCGAAGCUCUUGAUCGAAGCCCCGGUAAACGGCGGCCGUAACUAUAACGGUCCUAAGGUAGCGAAAUUCCUUGUCGGGUAAGUUCCGACCUGCACGAAUGGCGUAAUGAUGGCCAGGCUGUCUCCACCCGAGACUCAGUGAAAUUGAACUCGCUGUGAAGAUGCAGUGUACCCGCGGCAAGACGGAAAGACCCCGUGAACCUUUACUAUAGCUUGACACUGAACAUUGAGCCUUGAUGUGUAGGAUAGGUGGGAGGCUUUGAAGUGUGGACGCCAGUCUGCAUGGAGCCGACCUUGAAAUACCACCCUUUAAUGUUUGAUGUUCUAACGUUGGCCCGUAAUCCGGGUUGCGGACAGUGUCUGGUGGGUAGUUUGACUGGGGCGGUCUCCUCCUAAAGAGUAACGGAGGAGCACGAAGGUUGGCUAAUCCUGGUCGGACAUCAGGAGGUUAGUGCAAUGGCAUAAGCCAGCUUGACUGCGAGCGUGACGGCGCGAGCAGGUGCGAAAGCAGGUCAUAGUGAUCCGGUGGUUCUGAAUGGAAGGGCCAUCGCUCAACGGAUAAAAGGUACUCCGGGGAUAACAGGCUGAUACCGCCCAAGAGUUCAUAUCGACGGCGGUGUUUGGCACCUCGAUGUCGGCUCAUCACAUCCUGGGGCUGAAGUAGGUCCCAAGGGUAUGGCUGUUCGCCAUUUAAAGUGGUACGCGAGCUGGGUUUAGAACGUCGUGAGACAGUUCGGUCCCUAUCUGCCGUGGGCGCUGGAGAACUGAGGGGGGCUGCUCCUAGUACGAGAGGACCGGAGUGGACGCAUCACUGGUGUUCGGGUUGUCAUGCCAAUGGCACUGCCCGGUAGCUAAAUGCGGAAGAGAUAAGUGCUGAAAGCAUCUAAGCACGAAACUUGCCCCGAGAUGAGUUCUCCCUGAGACUUAGAGUCUCCUGAAGGAACGUUGAAGACGACGACGUUGAUAGGCCGGGUGUGUAAGCGCAGCGAUGCGUUGAGCUAACCGGUACUAAUGAACCGUGAGGCUUAACCUU
rnacentral:rRNA from 1 species